rfam:Salmo salar isolate Sally breed double haploid chromosome ssa27, whole genome shotgun sequence.
UGGCUCAGUCUGUAGAGCAUGGUGUUUGUAACACCAGGGUUGUGGGUUCAGUUCCCAU